CCGAAAGGCAGGAGUGCCUGCAAGGGAGCGCGGAGACAGGUGGUGCAUGGCUGUCGUCAGCUCGUGUCGUGAGAUGUUGGGUUAAGUCCCGCAACGAGCGCAACCCUCACCUCUUGUUGCCAUCAGGUCAUGCUGGGCACUCUAGAGGAACUGCCCCGGUCAACGGGGAGGAAGGCGGGGAUGACGUCAAGUCAUCAUGCCCCUUACGUCCUGGGCUACACACGUGCUACAAUGGCCGGUACAAAGGGAUGCCACACCGCGAGGUAGAGCUAAACCCAAAAAGCCGGUCUAAGUUCGGAUUGGAGUCUGCAACUCGACUCCAUGAAGGAGGAAUCGCUAGUAAUCGCGUAUCAGCACGACGCGGUGAAUACGUUCCCGGGCCUUGUACACACCGCCCGUCACACCACGAAAGCCAG
rnacentral:rRNA from 1 species